rnacentral:rRNA from 1 species
CCUACGGGUGGCAGCAGUGAGGAAUAUUGGUCAAUGGACGAGAGUCUGAACCAGCCAAGUAGCGUGAAGGAUGACUGCCCUAUGGGUUGUAAACUUCUUUUAUAUGGGAAUAAAAUGUUCCACGUGUGGGAUUUUGUAUGUACCAUAUGAAUAAGGAUCGGCUAACUCCGUGCCAGCAGCCGCGGUAAUACGGAGGAUCCGAGCGUUAUCCGGAUUUAUUGGGUUUAAAGGGAGCGUAGGUGGAUUGUUAAGUCAGUUGUGAAAGUUUGCGGCUCAACCGUAAAAGUGCAGUUGAAACUGGCAGUCUUGAGUACAGUAGAGGUGGGCGGAAUUCGUGGUGUAGCGGUGAAAUGCUUAGAUAUCACGAAGAACUCCGAUUGCGAAGGCAGUUCACUGGUCUGCAACUGACACUGAGGCUCGAAAGUGUGGGUAUCAAACAGGAUUAGAUACCCUAGUAGUC